rnacentral:rRNA from 1 species
GCCCAGACUCCUACGGGAGGCAGCAGUGAGGAAUAUUGGUCAAUGGCCGCAGGGCUGAACCAGCCAAGUCGCGUGAGGGAUGACGGUCCUAUGGAUUGUAAACCUCUUUUGUCAGGGAGCAAAGGGCGCCACGUGUGGCGCUUUGCGAGUACCUGAAGAAAAAGCAUCGGCUAACUUCGUGCCAGCAGCCGCGGUAAUACGAAGGGGGCAAGCGUUGUUCGGAAUUACUGGGCGUAAAGGGAGUGUAGGCGGUUUAGUAAGAUAGUGGUGAAAUCCCAGGGCUUAACUUUGGAAUUGCCAUUAUAACUAUUAGACUAGAAUUACAGAGAGGAUAGUGGAAUACCCAGUGUAGAGGUGAAAUUCGUAGAUAUUGGGUAGAACACCAGUGGCGAAGGCGACUAUCUGGCUGUACAUUGACGCUGAGGCUCGAAAGCAUGGGGAUCAAACAGGAUUAGAUACCCCCGUA